ACUGUAUCUGUGUGUGUGUGUCUGCUUACAUGUGUGUGGCUCUGUGUGUAUGUGACUGUCUGCCCCUGUGUGUGCGUGUGUGUGGCUGUGUGUCUAUGUGUGACUGUAAAUGUGUGUUUGUGCGUGAGACUGCCUGCCUCUGUAUGUGUGUAUGUGUGGCUGUGUGUCUAUGUGUGACUGUAAAUGUGUGUUUGUGUGUGAUACUGUCUGCCUCUAUAUGUGUGGCUGUGUGCCUAUCUGUGACUGUAACUCUGUGUGUGUG